rnacentral:rRNA from 1 species
GACGUAGGGGGCGAGCGUUGUCCGGAUUCAUUGGGCGUAAAGCGCGCGUAGGCGGCUGCGCAAGUCGGUUGUGAAAUUCCGGGGCUCAACCCCGGAACUGCGUCCGAUACUGCGUGGCUAGAGGUAGGUAGGGGGAUCUGGAAUUCCUGGUGUAGCGGUGAAAUGACGCAGAUAUCAGGAGGAACACCGGUGGCGAAGGCGGGUCUCUGGGCAACAACUGACGCUGAGGAGCGAAAGCGUGGGGAGCGAACAGG